AUUGAACGCUGGCGGCAGGCCUAACACAUGCAAGUCGAGCGAGUGGCGGACGGGUGAGUAAUGUCUGGGAAACUGCCCGAUGGAGGGGGAUAACUACUGGAAACGGUGGCUAAUACCGCAUACCAUCAGAUGUGCCCAUAUGGGAUUAGCUAGUUGGUGGGGUAACGGCUCACCAAGGCGACGAUCCCUAGCUGGGCUGAGAGGAUGACCAGCCACACUGGAACUGAGACACGGGCCAGACUCCUACGGGAGGCAGCAGUGGGGAAUAUGGCACAAUGGGCGCAAGCCUGAUGCAGCCAUGCCGCGUGUAUGAAGAAGGCCUUAGGGUUGUAAAGUACUUUCAGCGGGGAGGCGUUACCCGCAGAAGAAGCACCGGCUAACUCCGUGCCAGCAGCCGCGGUAAUAC
rnacentral:rRNA from 1 species